GACGAACGCUGGCGGCGUGCUUAGCACAUGCAAGUCGUACGGUAAGGCCCUUUCGGGGGUACACGAGUGGCGAACGGGUGAGUAUCACGUGAGUAACCUGCCCACAACUUUGGGAUAACGCUAGGAAACUGGUGCUAAUACUGGAUAUGUGCUCCUGCUGCAUGGUGGGGGUUGGAAAGCUCCGGCGGUUGUGGAUGGACUCGCGGCCUAUCAGCUUGUUGGUGGGGUAGUGGCCUACCAAGGCGGCGACGGGUAGCCGGCCUGAGAGGGUGACCGGCCACAUUGGGACUGAGAUACGGCCCAGACUCCUACGGGAGGCAGCAGUGGGGAAUAUUGCACAAUGGGCGCAAGCCUGAUGCAGCAACGCCGCGUGCGGGAUGACGGCCUUCGGGUUGUAAACCGCUUUCAGCAGGGACGAAGCUUUUUGUGACGGUACCUGCAGAAGAAGCACCGGCUAACUACGUGCCAGCAGCCGCGGUGAUACGUAGGGUGCGAGCGUUGUCCGGAUUUAUUGGGCGUAAAGGGCUCGUAGGCGGUUGAUCGCGUCGGAAGUGGAAACUUGAUGCUUAACGUUGAGCGUGCUUUCGAUACGGGUUGACUUGAGGAAGGUAGGGGAGAAUGGAAUUCCUGGUGGAGCGGUGGAAUGCGCAGAUAUCAGGAGGAACACCAGUGGCGAAGGCGGUUCUCUGGACCUUUCCUGACGCUGAGGAGCGAAAGCGUGGGGAGCGAACAGGCUUAGCUACCCUGGUAGUCCACGCUGUAAACGGUGG
rnacentral:rRNA from 1 species